rnacentral:rRNA from 1 species
GGAAGUAAAAGUCGUAACAAGGUUUCCGUAGGUGAACCUGCGGAAGGAUCAUUACCGAGUGUAGGGUUCCUAGCGAGCCCAACCUCCCACCCGUGUUUAUGUACCUUAGUUGCUUCGGCGGCCCGCCAUUCAUGGCCGCCGGGGGCUCUCAGCCCCGGGCCCGCGCCCGCCGGAGACACCACGAACUCUGUCUGAUCUAGUGAAGUCUGAGUUGAUUGUAUCGCAAUCAGUUAAAACUUUCAACAAUGGAUCUCUUGGUUCCGGCAUCGAUGAAGAACGCAGCGAAAUGCGAUAACUAGUGUGAAUUGCAGAAUUCCGUGAAUCAUCGAGUCUUUGAACGCACAUUGCGCCCCCUGGUAUUCCGGGGGGCAUGCCUGUCCGAGCGUCAUUGCUGCCCAUCAAGCACGGCUUGUGUGUUGGGUCGUCGUCCCCUCUCCGGGGGGGACGGGCCCCAAAGGCAGCGGCGGCACCGCGUCCGAUCCUCGAGCGUAUGGGGCUUUGUCACCCGCUCUGUAGGCCCGGCCGGCGCUUGCCGAACGCAAAUCAAUCUUUUUCCAGGUUGACCUCGGAUCAGGUAGGGAUACCCGCUGAACUUAAGCAUAUCAAUAAGCGGAGGA